rnacentral:lncRNA from 1 species
GUUGGUGGUGGUGCCGGGGGUGGAGUCGGUGGAAUUGGUGGUAUUGGAGGUGGGCUUGGUGGUGGAUCUGGAUUAUUAGGAGGAGUGGGUGGUUUGGGAGGGGCUGCUGGAGGCCUCGGGGGCCUCGGAGGCGGUGCCGGAGGUGGCCUCGGCGGUGGUUCAGGUGGUGGCCUUGGCAGUGGUAUCGGUGGCGGAGCUGGUGGCGGAUUUGGUGGAGGUGCCGGAGGGGGUCUCGGGGGUGGAAGUGGCAGUAACUGUGGUGGUGGCCUACUUCACCCUUGAUAUUUCUACAAUUUCAUUUCAUGCUUCUUUAAUUUUAGGAUAAUGUCAGUUAAUCAAGUCGGUUUUGUGUUAGCCUUUCUUCACUUUUGAUAAGUCGGUUAUAAGUUUUUAAGAGUUCUUUUAUUUUGGGUCGUGUUUUGAAUAAUCGCUUAGCUUUUUUCAAGUUUCUUGCAGUUUUAACAUAUGUGAUAUGUAAGCUUAAAGUAUAUCCGUCUGAUCCGACUUAUAUAUAUCAAGAUCCAGACAUUUGAUAAUAUAAUUGAUUUUACCGAUCGAUGUUGUAGACCUAAUACGAUGCCAAGAUAUAAUUGAAAAUGCAG